UUUUAUUUUUAAGGGUUGAUGAUUGCAGAGACACGAUUUGAUACUCCCACCUAACUCCCAAUCCAUCUCUCUCGAGUUCUUCACAAGGCGUUCUCUGUGAAAAAAAACUCUCCAAAACUGAAAAUUUCCUUUUGUUUCAAGAGGGAUUUCCACAAAUUGGCUCCUUGCCAGAGACAUAGCGGAGAAGACUCUAUUGAAGCGUCACUAUUUGUGAGAUUUAUUCGUUGGGAAAGAAGAAUUUUUUUUAGAAAAUUGAAGAAUGGUUCUUCAAAGGAUCUGACCCUAUCAAAGACUGCCGUAUUUUCUUAUAGGAAAUCUAUGAAUCUGCAAGCCAUUAAAGAUUGGAUAUAGAAUGCUUACAAGGGUGGAAGGAUAAAUUCUUCUUAAUAGGGGCAAAGGAAGUGCUUAUUAAAAUAUGGAAAAUGCGAUACCUACCUAUGCUAUGAGCUGUUUACAUCUCCUUAAAGGAUUAUGUCUGAAAUCAUGAGGUUGUGCGAUAGGUUCUAGUAAGGUGCCACGGAAGAGAAAAGGAAAAUUCACUAGAUGAGGUGGGAAAAACUGUGUUCCCAAAGAGUUGUGGGGAUAAAUUUUGGAAAUAUUGAGUUGUUCAACCAAGCUUUGCAAGCCAAGCAAGUAUGGAGGAUUAAAAAAAUCCCUUAUCCAAAUGAGUAGGGUUCUAACAGGAUGGUAUUUCCCAAAUUGCUCUGUUUUGGAAGCCCCUGGGUCCUGAUCAAGAUCAUACUUUUGGAAAAGUUUGUGUUGGGGUUGUUAUGUGUUCAAGAGGGGUAUUAGGAAGAUGAUUGGAAAUGGGAUAUUGAUGCUAGCUUUUCAGGACCCUUGGAUUUCUAGACUGUAAACUUUAAUUAUGGUUUCUAAAGGUACUGUGGGUGAGAAACGGUUUGUGGCCAGGUAAUUGGGACAUUCAUAUGUUGAACAGGGAUUUAAUGACCUCAACCGUUGAGGAGAUCACCAGGGUCCCAGUUAGUCGAUCCAAUAGGGAGGAUCAAUGGAUCUAGCACUAUGAUAAAACGGAUUUGAAGAAAAAUGAAGAAAAAUGGUCAAGGAAACCAAAGUUGCAGUCUUGAAUGCAUAGAAGAGAUCAACUUAGUGUCCAACUUUGCAACACAGAAAACUGCACGAUAAGAUGAGACAUGAAAAGAGAAAACGACAAACGCAUAGGCAAUGGAUGUCAUAUCAAGAUGCAUGUUGGUAGCUUAUUUGAGACAUUUGUAAUAGAGUCAAUGAAUCUAUGAUGCGAGUAGUCGGUGCAACAGGAUAUGGAAUUCAAUGCAAGGUGUCGAUGCAUCAUUAGAGAGAGACAAAGAACCUUCUUUUUUAUGCCUAUAAAAAGCCCAUUGAAGAUUUUUCUAAGUAUCAUACGAGACUUCUUACCAAGAAAUUGGUCGAAAUUCUAUCCAUUCCUCACUUGAAAUCCACCAUUGCUACCACUUCUUCAAGCUCUUCUUUAGAGAAUUCUGAGUCAAAGCUCAAUUUUCUUCUUUGAAAAUGGAGAAAAAAAGAGACCAUCAUCAUUGUGCAACCACAUUGAAGCAGCAUCAUUAGAGCCAAAGGGAACAAGAAAUCGUGACAUGCAGGAUCUCGAUUGUAGGUGUAUUGCACCCUUGUCUAUGAAAUGGUGCAAAACAUUACAUGAAUGAAGGCACAAUGCCUGGACUAGUAUAUAGCCCUGAGAUCGAACGGACUUUCCACAGACGCAUAAGAACAAACAGGAAGAGAUGAUAGAGAAAAAAACCUCGAGUAAUGAGAGAUCAACAUAACAACUCAAUAGCAUCAAACGUGAUCAACAUCUGAGGCAACAAUGAAGUGAAUAACGCAUUGGCGCCUGCCAAUCCCAUACUUCUUACAAAUGAUCGCAACAGACCAAUCAAAGAUUAUGCUUCGCCUAAUCAAUAUGACUUUUCACCAGACAUCAUGCGACCAUUAGCUGAAAGUACUCGAUUUGAGAUGAAAACGGUAAUGUUAAAGAUGAUCCAAACAACUAGACAAUUUGGAGGUGCGCUAGGAGAAGAUCCUCAUGCCCACUUAAAAUGCUUCAUUCGGAUCUGCAACCUUUUUGUGAUUCCAAAUGUCUCAGCUAAUGAAAUUCAAUUGUUCAUGUUUCCAUUCUCUCUAAAAGAUGGAGCAAGACAAUGGGUGUAUAAACGAGAACUAGGUGAAAUCAACUUAUGGGAAUAGAUGGUGGCUAAAUUCAUAAGGAAGUUCUUCCCUCCAACAAAAACUGCAAAGAGGCGAAGAGACAUCACCAAUUUUGAACAAAGGGAGCAGGAAACCUUAAGUGAUGCAUGGAAGAGAUUCAAUAAAUUAGUCAAAAUGUGUCUACAUAACGGUUUGUCGGACUGUGUGCAAAUGGAGGUUUUUUUUAUGAUGGACUUAAAGAAGUAUCACAGAUCGUAACUGACUUUGUGGUAGAAAGUGGCUUACUACAAAAGACUUAUACUAAGGCAAAGGCCAUUCUGGACUAGAUUCCACAAAACCAUGAAGAUUGAAAGGAGAAUGGGUUUGGAUCACGGUCAAUUUCAACAAGGAGAAAUAAUUCAAGAACGAAUAAUGACACCAUCGCAACAUUACAAAUGCAAGUGACUACAAUUUCAAAGCUAUUACAAGCUAUGACAAUGACCAAAAAUGGCACAGAGAAUAAUAAUCAGUUAAUGUGACAUCCGAAUCCUCACUGAAUUCCUUAGGUUAAGAAAAGAGUUCAGACUUAAAAGCCUUGAAAGGAAAUGAUUGGCUAAAUACGUAAACUAGGCCAUGAAGGAAGUAUUAAUACUUAGGAAAAUCUCUAAUUAUUGGAAACAUGUGAUUGAUUUAAGAGUUGGAAUUCAAAUGUUGGAAAGACAAGGUAAACACCUAGUCCAAGGAAGAAGAAGGAAUUUGGACUAAAUACUAAGUAUGGGAUGAAUCAUCCUAGAGUUGGAAGUAUAACUGGAAUUGUAGGAGUUUUGGACGCAUGCUUGAAACAGAAUAGGCUCACUUGGACGCAUGCUAGGGAGGCAUGCAUUUAAUUUCAUCUUGGACGCAUAGUAAGAAGUUUGGGACUAAAUCAAGGGGAGAAACCAUGUUACAAAAAGGAAGUUAUGGCCAAGAAGUAGGGAUUUGAGAAGUUGAAUGCACGAACCAAGGGGUCAUACAUCCACCAAGGAGUAUUUGGGCAUUAAGUGACAACAAGGGGAGGAACAUAGGUUCUUCAGAUGAAAUUUUGAUAAAUCAAAGUAGGAGGUAGAGGGCGGAAAUGCAAGAUUUAAUAUGGGACAACCACUUCAAAGGUAGUAUGCGUUAGACAUAUGUAACAGAGAACAUGACUUACCUACAUGCAAGUAGCUGGUGGGAAUGAAGAAGGUGGUGGCUCAACCAGAAGAAGAUGCUCAAAUUUCCUUUAAGAAGGAGGUGGCAGGUGUUUGAGGCUUGAAGGAUAACAAGGAUGAUCUGAAGUUGCCUACAAAUACCUUUAGGGUGUUACCUUUCACUCUACAACUUUCUGAUCUCUUGAGAAAUCUUAUAAGGGAGUUAUUGGAGAGAAUUAAAGUUUGAAGGGAAGACCAUGUGUUGGAGUGUUGUAUCAGGCGUCCAAGCUUGACUAUUAGGUGUUGAACAGGUUGAACCAGGCAUUGGUGUGGUUGUCCAUGUGUUCAACUUGGCUGUGAAGUGUAACCCUGCGUCCAACAGCCGUUUCUUUUCCUAAAUUGAAGGUGUAGUUUGAGCAUGGGUGGUUGGUAAGCUAGGGUUAAGGUUAAGGAAAUGUAUUAAGAUUAUUUUAACCCUAAACAUGGGAUUUUAAGUUGAUAUUUGGGUUGAUACAAACUCAGGAUUUAGGAAGAAAAGAAGAUACAGGAGAGUAAGGAACCCUUUUUCCCAAUGAACUAUGAGUGGUUUUUCUCUCUCUGUCUUUGUGAUU